GCGGAGCGAGCCAUUGUGCCGGCGGCGGUGGGGAAUGCCAUUAGGGGACCGGGGGACCGGCCUGCCCUCUCCGGGGCGCCCCUAUCGCACCCAUCAGUAAACACGGAUGGAGACAAGGCGCCCGAGAAGACGGGGGCUGCCUGGCAGAGAAGGGAGCGAGCUCUCGGCUGCUGCUGCCCUCCUGGCCCCGUUUGCCUUUGCAUGCACGAGGGCUUCUUCCUUCUGCAGAAACGGAAGGCAAAAGUGGCGAAAAUGAGGUGGGCAGAAGUGCUCGCCUUGAUCCACGCUGGCCUGCAUGCUCACUCCAUCAUCGCCCCCAUAAGAAAAGGAGGUCUGUGAGUGUGUGUGUGUGUGUAGGGAACAGAGAGCAUCCGCAUUUGCCUUCGGCAUCGUCAGUAUAAAUACUGCCUACCUGAUCUCUACUGGAAUUCUCUACAAACCAAGGAACCUGUCAGAUUCACCGUGGAUGGAGACAGCUUUGAAUGAACGGCUUGGCAGGAUUCUAACAGUUUCAGAAAUGAAGGAUCUACAAUAUUGGAGAAUUUCUUUGUCUCAGUGGUCCUGGGGACACUUAAACCUGAAACCAUCACAACACCUGGCAGGUCCCAGUUUGAAUGCCUGCCACUCUUCCUCCUUUCUGUUGUUUUUUACUGCUCUGAUCAUGCAAUUAUCCUGACUACAACAACCCAUUAACCUGCUCCCCCACCCCCUCAGCCAUGAUCUGCCCCCCUGUGCCAUCUUGCUUAAUGAAGACAUCAAAAGCUUGAACUGGCCCAAUAAAAUUAUGACCACAUAUGA